rnacentral:rRNA from 1 species
AGAGUUUGAUCAUGGCUCAGAGCGAACGCUGGCGGCAGGCCUAACACAUGCAAGUCGAACGGAUCCUUCGGGAUUAGUGGCGGACGGGUGAGUAACACGUGGGAACGUGCCCUUUGGUUCGGAACAACUCAGGGAAACUUGAGCUAAUACCGGAUAAGCCCUACGGGGGAAAGAUUUAUCGCCAUUGGAGCGGCCCGCGUCUGAUUAGCUAGUUGGUGAGGUAAAGGCUCACCAAGGCGACGAUCAGUAGCUGGUCUGAGAGGAUGAUCAGCCACAUUGGGACUGAGACACGGCCCAAACUCCUACGGGAGGCAGCAGUGGGGAAUCUUGCGCAAUGGGCGAAAGCCUGACGCAGCCAUGCCGCGUGAAUGAUGAAGGUCUUAGGAUUGUAAAAUUCUUUCAGCAGGGACGAUAAUGACGGUACCUGCAGAAGAAGCCCCGGCUAACUUCGUGCCAGCAGCCGCGGUAAUACGAAGGGGGCUAGCGUUGCUCGGAAUUACUGGGCGUAAAGGGCGCGUAGGCGGGUCGCUAAGUUGGGGGUGAAAGCCCAGGGCUCAACCCUGGAAUUGCCUUCAAUACUGGCGGCCUUGAGUAUGGCAGAGGUGUGUGGAACUCCGAGUGUAGAGGUGAAAUUCGUAGAUAUUCGGAAGAACACCAGUGGCGAAGGCGGCUCACUGGCCCGAUACUGACGCUGAGGUGCGAAAGCGUGGGGAGCAAACAGGAUUAGAUACCCUAGUAGUCC